UCCCUGGCGGUCCAGUGGUUAGGACUCAGCACUUUUGCUGCUGGGGCCCAGGUUCAAUCCCUGGUUGGGGAA